rnacentral:rRNA from 1 species
AAAUGCCUUAGUAGCGGCGAGUGAAGCGGCAAUAGCUCAAAUUUGAAAUCUGGCGUCUUCGGCGUCCGAGUUGUAAUUUGAAGAAGGUAUCUUUGAGGCUGGCUCUUGUCUAUGUUCCUUGGAACAGGACGUCACAGAGGGUGAGAAUCCCGUGCGAUGAGAUGCCCAGUUUCGUGUAAAGUUCCUUCGACGAGUCGAGUUGUUUGGGAAUA